AACGAACGCUGGCGGCAUGCCUAACACAUGCAAGUCGAACGAGACCUUCGGGGCUAGUGGCGCACGGGUGGUGAACGCCGGGGAAGCUGCCCUUGGGUUAGGAAUAACUCCCCCAAAGGUGUGCUAAUACCGGGGAAUGUCUUCGUACCAAAGAUUUAUCGCCUUUGGGUGGGCCCGCGUUGGCUUAGCUAGUUGGUAGGGUCAAACCCUACCAAGGAGACGUUUCAUAGCUGGUUGGAGAGGAUGAUCAGCUACACUGGGACUGAGACACGGCCCAGACUGCUACGCAAGGGAGGAGUGGGGAAUACUGGACAAUGGGCGAAAGCCUGACGACGCAAUGCCGCGUGAGUGAUGAAGGCGUUAGGGUUGCAAAGCUCUUUUACACGGGAUGAUAAUGACAGUACCGGGAGAAUAAGCUCCGGCUAACUACGUG
rnacentral:rRNA from 1 species